GGCCGCGGGAAUUCNAUUCNCCCGGGGCGCGCCCCGGGCGGGGUGGGGGCACGGGGGGAACGCGAANAACCUUACCAGCCUUUGACAUGUCCGGUUUGGANCCUGGAGACAGGUUCCUUCAGUUCGGCUGGCCGGAACACAGGUGCUGCAUGGCUGUCGUCAGCUCGUGUCGUGAGAUGUUGGGUUAAGUCCCGCAACGAGCGCAACCCUCGCCCCUAGUUGCCAUCAUUCGGUUGGGCACUCUGGGGGAACUGCCGGUGAUAAGCCGGAGGAAGGUGUGGAUGACGUCAAGUCCUCAUGGCCCUUACGGGCUGGGCUACACACGUGCUACAAUGGUGGUGACAGAGGGUUAAUCCCCAAAAGCCAUCUCAGUUCGGAUUGUCGUCUGCAACUCGACGGCAUGAAGUCGGAAUCGCUAGUAAUCGCGCAUCAGCUCGGCGCGGUGAAUACGUUCCCGGGCCUUGUACACACCGAAUCACUAGUGAAUUC
rnacentral:rRNA from 1 species